GUCAGGAGUCUGAUCGUGAGUGCCCUGGGAUGCCUGGCUGAGGAGUUUAGAUUUUCAUCCGUCGACACUGGCAGCCUUUGAAGGAUUUCUGCAGGGGAAUGCGGUGAUUAGAGUUGGCUAUAGUUGAAGCUGUGUGCAAACUGGAUUGGGAACUGGGAGAGGAAGAAAGUGGGAUGUGCUGUCAGAGGUUAUUGUCAUAACUUUGGCUGAAGUUACUGAGACAAGUAAGAUGGAGGGCCAGUGGGACUGGAGAGGAGAGUACCGACGCCUGAGCAGGAUAAAUUCCCAAAGAAGAGGAGCGAGGUAGGAAGAGAUGACUGGGGGCCAGGGAACUGGAGAACAUUCCAGAUCAUCCCCUCCUCAGGCUUGAGGCACUGGUGACCCACUGAGGCAAAACAUACCUGAAUUUCAACCUAGAAGUUCAAGGUGAUCAUUGUAUGUAAACAACAGGCUCAAACAUCCUCCAAGGUGAUUGUGUCUAUUUGGGACGUGGAGAUUUUCAUGUCACGUGUGAAAUGAGGAUACUGUUUGGGUAUUAAACUGAUGUCUUUUUCAUUCAUCAUACCCUCUGACUUCCUGCCCACUAUCUUAUUGCUUCAGGGUAGGGUAGGGUAGCUACCAGC
rnacentral:lncRNA from 1 species